UUUUCCAGUUAACUGUUUGGUUAAUCCAUGUAAUAAUUAUAAUUGUUCAAUUGGUUCACAAUGUGUUCCAAACUACUGUAACGGUUGCAACGCUGUGUGCAAACAAUGUGCAAAAACGC